rnacentral:rRNA from 1 species
GACGAACGCUGGCGGCGUGCUUAACACAUGCAAGUCGAACGGAAAGGCCCUGCUUUUGUGGGGUGCUCGAGUGGCGAACGGGUGAGUAACACGUGAGUAACCUGCCCUUGACUUUGGGAUAACCUCAGGAAACUGGGGCUAAUGCCGGAUAGGAGCUCCUGCUGCAUGGUGGGGGUUGGAAAGUUUCGGCGGUUGGGGAU